rnacentral:rRNA from 1 species
CGAACGGUGAAGCCAAGCUUGCUUGGUGGAUCAGUGGCGAACGGGUGAGUAACACGUGAGCAACCUGCCCUGGACUCUGGGAUAAGCGCUGGAAACGGUGUCUAAUACUGGAUAUGAGCUCUCAUCGCAUGGUGGGGGUUGGAAAGAUUUUUCGGUCUGGGAUGGGCUCGCGGCCUAUCAGCUUGUUGGUGAGGUAAUGGCUCACCAAGGCGUCGACGGGUAGCCGGCCUGAGAGGGUGACCGGCCACACUGGGACUGAGACACGGCCCAGACUCCUACGGGAGGCAGCAGUGGGGAAUAUUGCACAAUGGGCGGAAGCCUGAUGCAGCAACGCCGCGUGAGGGAUGACGGCCUUCGGGUUGUAAACCUCUUUUAGCAGGGAAGAAGCGAGAGUGACGGUACCUGCAGAAAAAGCGCCGGCUAACUACGUGCCAGCAGCCGCGGUAAUACGUAGGGCGCAAGCGUUAUCCGGAAUUAUUGGGCGUAAAGAGCUCGUAGGCGGUUUGUCGCGUCUGCUGUGAAAUCCCGAGGCUCAACCUCGGGCCUGCAGUGGGUACGGGCAGACUAGAGUGCGGUAGGGGAGAUUGGAAUUCCUGGUGUAGCGGUGGAAUGCGCAGAUAUCAGGAGGAACACCGAUGGCGAAGGCAGAUCUCUGGGCCGUAACUGACGCUGAGGAGCGAAAGGGUGGGGAGCAAACAGGCUUAGAUACCCUGGUAGUCCACCCCGUAAACGUUGGGAACUAGUUGUGG